rnacentral:rRNA from 1 species
CCUACGGGUGGCAGCAGUGGGGAAUCUUGGGCAAUGGGCGCAAGCCUGACCCAGCAACGCCGCGUGAAGGAAGAAGGCUUUCGGGUUGUAAACUUCUUUUCUCAGUGACGACGCAAUUGACGGUACCUGAGGAAUAAGCCACGGCUAACUACGUGCCAGCAGCCGCGGUAAUACGUAGGUGGCAAGCGUUAUCCGGAUUUACUGGGUGUAAAGGGCGUGUAGGCGGGACUGCAAGUCAGAUGUGAAAACCACGGGCUCAACCUGUGUCGUGCAUUUGAAAAUGUAGUUCUUUAGUACUGGAGAGGCAGACGGAAUUCCUAGUGGAGCGGUGAAAUGCGUAGAUAUUAGGAGGAACACCAGUGGCGAAGGCGGUCUGCUGGACAGCAACUGACGCUGAGGCGCGAAAGCGUGGGGAGCAAACAGGAUUAGAUACCCGGGUAGUC